rnacentral:rRNA from 1 species
ACCCGCACAAGCGGUGGAUCAUGCGGUUUAAUUCGAUAAUACGCGGCGAACCUUACCAAGGCUUGACAUAUAGCUGCAUUCCGAUGGAAACAUUGGAAGCCUUCGAGGGUGCUAUACAGGUGCUGCAUGGUUGCCGUCAGCUCGUGCCGUGAGGUGUACCGUUAAGUCGGGUAACGAGCGCAACCCCUGCUGUGUGUUAAAUGUACACACAGGACUGCCCGGGCAACCGGGAGGAAGGUGGGGACGACGUCAAAUCAGCAUGGCUCUUACGCCUUGGGCUACACGCAUGAUACAAUGGCCGGUACAAAGGGUUGCCAAACCGCGAGGUGGAGCAAAUCCCACAAAGCCGGUCUCAGUUCGGAUUGUAGGCUGCAACUCGCCUACAUGAAGUUGGAAUCGCUAGUAAUCGCGCAUCAGCCACGGCGCGAUGAAUACGUUCUCGGGUCUUGUACUCACCGCCCGUCAUACCACGAAAGUUGGCAGCACCCGAAAGCUCCGCAAGGGGAUUAAGGUGAGGUCAGUAAUCAGGGUAAAGUCGUAACAAGGCAUCCGUAGCGGAAGCUGUGGAUGGAUCACCUCCUUUCUGGAGUACAGUCCGG